UACGAAGGGGGCGAGCGUUAUCCGGAUUCACUGGGUUUAAAGGGUGCGUAGGCGGACAGGUAAGUCAGUGGUGAAAUCUCUGGGCUUAACUCAGAAACUGCCGUUGAUACUAUUUGUCUUGAAUAUCUUGGAGGUAAGCGGAAUAUGUCAUGUAGCGGUGAAAUGCUUAGAUAUGACAUAGAACACCGAUAGCGAAGGCAGCUUACUACAGGAAGGAUUGACGCUGAGGCACGAAAGCGUGGGGAGCAAACAGG
rnacentral:rRNA from 1 species